rnacentral:SRP_RNA from 1 species
UCGUGCUAGAUGGGGAGGUAGCGGUGCCCUGUACCCGCAACCCGCUAUAGCGGGGUUGAAUUCCUGCCCAAGGCAUAAAGCUGUAGAAUCAGGGCCUUGAUAUGAAGACAAUGAAGAUUGGGUCUUGCGCAAUUCAAGGCUGUGAACCCCGUCAGGUCCGGAAGGAAGCAGCGGUAAGCAGUUAUCUGGAUGUGCCGCAGGAGUGCCUGGUCCGAGCCUUCUGUCAUUGUACCGUCCGUAGUUGUAUGUCGACGGCAGGUGCACGA